UACGUAGGUGGCAAGCGUUAUCCGGAAUUAUUGGGCGUAAAGCGCGCGCAGGCGGUUUUUUAAGUCUGAUGUGAAAGCCCACGGCUCAACCGUGGAGGGUCAUUGGAAACUGGGGAACUUGAGUGCAGAAGAGAAAAGCGGAAUUCCACGUGUAGCGGUGAAAUGCGUAGAGAUGUGGAGGAACACCAGUGGCGAAGGCGGCUUUUUGGUCUGUAACUGACGCUGAGGCGCGAAAGCGUGGGUAGCAAACAGG
rnacentral:rRNA from 1 species